UACAUUACAUUUCUAUACUGUACUUAUACAUGACUGAACUAAACAUAACAUCUCAACAUUAUUCAUGUUCACACUAUCUAUUACAUAACCAAGACUUCAUUACUCUUGCUGACCUCCUGGUCUACCCUGUACCUGCAAACCUGGGGUUAAGGGAGAGGGGUGAGCUAUAAAGCCCAGUGAGCAGAAUAAUAAAACAUUUAAAACAUAUGAUAACAUGGAAUGCAUCACAUCACA
rnacentral:lncRNA from 1 species